UACGGAGGGGGCUAGCGUUGUUCGGAAUUACUGGGCGUAAAGCGCACGUAGGCGGCUUUGCAAGUUACGAGGUGAAAGCCCGGGGCUCAACCUCGGAAUUGCCUUUAGACUGCAUCGCUAGAAUUGUGGAGAGGUAAGUGGAAUUCCGAGUGUAGAGGUGAAAUUCGUAGAUAUUCGGAAGAACACCAGUGGCGAAGGCGACUUACUGGACACAUAUUGACGCUGAGGUGCGAAAGCGUGGGGAGCAAACAGG
rnacentral:rRNA from 1 species